UUAAGCAUAUCAAUAAGCGGAGGAAAAGAAACCAACAGGGAUUGCCCUAGUAACGGCGAGUGAAGCGGCAACAGCUCAAAUUUGAAAUCUGGCCUUCGGGUCCGAGUUGUAAUUUGUAGAGGAUGCUUUUGGUGAGGUGCCUUCCGAGUUCCUUGGAACAGGACGCCUUAGAGGGUGAGAGCCCCGUACGGUUGGACACCAAGCCUUUGUAAAGCUCCUUCGACGAGUCGAGUAGUUUGGGAAUGCUGCUCUAAAUGGGAGGUAAAUUUCUUCUAAAGCUAAAUACCGGCCAGAGACCGAUAGCGCACAAGUAGAGUGAUCGAAAGAUGAAAAGUACUUUGAAAAGAGGGUUAAAUAGCACGUGAAAUUGUUGAAAGGGAAGCGUUUAUGACCAGACCUUUGUCAGGCGGAUCAUCCGGUGUUCUUCACCGGUGCACUUCGCCUGGCUCAGGCCAGCAUCGAUUUCUGUAGAGGGAUAAAGACCAUGGGAACGUAGCUCUCUUCGGGGAGUGUUAUAGCCCUAGGUGUAAUACCUUUACGGGGAUCGAGGUUCGCGCUUCUGCAAGGAUGCUGGCGUAAUGGUCAUCAAUGACCCGUCUUGAAACACGGACCAAGGAGUCGAACAUUUAUGCAAGUGUUUGGGUGUUAAACCCUCACGCGUAAUGAAAGUGAACGGAGGUGAGAGCCUUGUAUUAGGUGCAUCAUCGACCGAUCCUGAUGUAUUCGGAAGGAUUUGAGUAAGAGCAUAACUGUUCGGACCCGAAAGAUGGUGAACUAUGCGUGGAUAGGGUGAAGCCAGAGGAAACUCUGGUGGAGGCUCGCAGCGGUUCUGACGUGCAAAUCGAUCGUCAAAUCUGCGCAUGGGGGCGAAAGACUUAUCGAACCAUCUAGUAGCUGGUUACCGCCGAAGUUUCCCUCAGGAUAGCAGUGUUGUAUUCAGUUUUAUGAGGUAAAGCGAAUGAUUAGGGACUCGGGGGCUAUAUAUUGCCUUCAUCCAUUCUCAAACUUUAAAUAUGUAAGAAGCCCUUGUUACUUAAUUGAACGUGGGCAUUCGAAUGUAUCAACACUAGUGGGCCAUUUUUGGUAAGCAGAACUGGCGAUGCGGGAUGAACCGAACGCGAGGUUAAGGUGCCAGAGUAGACGCUCAUCAGACACCACAAAAGGUGUUAGUACAUCUUGACAGCAGGACGGUGGCCAUGGAAGUCGGAAUCCGCUAAGGACUGUGUAACAACUCACCUGCCGAAUGUACUAGCCCUGAAAAUGGAUGGCGCUCAAGCGUCUCACCCAUACCUCGCCCUUAGGGUAGAAACGAUGCCCUAAGGAGUAGGCGGCCGUGGAGGUUAGUGACGAAGC
rnacentral:rRNA from 1 species